rnacentral:rRNA from 1 species
GUAGGUGGCAAGCGUUGUCCGGAAUUAUUGGGCGUAAAGCGCGCGCAGGCGGUCCUUUAAGUCUGAUGUGAAAGCCCACGGCUCAACCGUGGAGGGUCAUUGGAAACUGGGGGACUUGAGUACAGAAGAGGAAAGCGGAAUUCCAAGUGUAGCGGUGAAAUGCGUAGAGAUUUGGAGGAACACCAGUGGCGAAGGCGGCUUUCUGGUCUGUGACUGACGCUGAGGCGCGAAAGCGUGGGAAGCAAACAGGGAUUAGAUACCCUGGUAGUCCACGCCGUAAACGAUGAGUGCUAAGUGUUAGGGGGUUUCCGCCCCCUUAGUGCUGCAGCUAACGCAUUAAGCACUCCGCCUGGGGAUACGGCCGCAAGGCUG